CGCACGAUCACUCGAACAGUUGCUGUUCAAGAUUCAUUUAUAGCUUGAUGUUGCUGUGUAAUAAAUAAACAUGAAGUACCUUAAAAUCGUAAUUUAUUUAAUAGCACGUGAUAUAUAUUAAAGAAUUCGUUCCAUUGAUGUAAUUGGUGAAAAUUUAGUGUAUCUUCGGGGUGGAAUUGGCUUAAACGUUUUCAAGGAGCUAUCAGGAAGUUUUGUGAAGGAUUUUGCAGAAGUAAUAUCUACAUUCUGUUAUUAAAUUUUUUGUCAGUCGUGGACUGCGAAACAAAAAAGGCUCCCAGAAUAUCAUAAUUUAGUCAGGACAAAUGAGUGACCAAAUUGGGAUUUAUUCAGUAAAACCAAAGAUGGCAAUGUAUUUCAAGAAACUAAUUGAAAAUUUUGUUAAGGAUUUCACAGAAGCAUGAUGCUGAACUUAAGUUUUAUGUAAACCCACAAAUCAAGUAACUAAGGUACCAUCUGUUCCGAAAAAUAUGGAUUGUUUAUGACAUGAUUUUCUACAGUCAUUAUCACAAGAUUUAAUUUACGAAAUCAGCCGAAGGAAGCAACAGAAUAAUAUCAGAUAUUCGACAAUUCUGCAACACAACAUAUAUUUACAAUUAUAUUGUGGAUAAAAUAAUUCACAUGUCCUAUAAGUUACUUAAAAUAGGUAAUAUUUUAAGUAACAUAGCAAAAACUAUUUAUUUAGCUGAUUUAUUGUUGUCAAUAAUAAGGUUUAUAACCUGCUGCUCCAUGAACAUUGGGACUGUUUAUUUGACUUACAAAUAUUCAUUAUGGAAGGUGUAGGCCAGUCCUUCAUCUCUUUUUAAACAGCAAAUAAUUUCAAUAUCCUGAACUAGUGAUAAAGGAUGUCAUAACUAAUUUGUCAUAAGCAUAGGACAAAAUUAGAGUGACUUUCAUUUUUGUGAAAACUUCUUUGGCCGCGUUGGGCACUUUUUGGUAGAGGAAUUCACAAUAGGGUAGCAUGACAUCUAAUGUGUUACGAUACACAAAACGACCCAAUGUACUUCUUUCCAAGGAUCAGGCCAUCUCGUAAUCGGAUAAACGACCUCAAAUAAUAAUAUUGCCAUGUCUAACAGUUGUAACAUAUUUUGGAUAAAUUCCACUGUUUUUAGGACGUUGAAUAAACUGUCCACCAUAAUUUCCGAAAAUGAUAAAUUUUGAUUUGUUCAAAAAUAGUACUUUUUUCCAACCUUUUGCUGCCUCUCCAAUUCCGAUACCUGAGCAAAAGGAAGUCUUGCUCCUCGAUUGUUUUUUGAAAGAGUAUUUCACAGGACAUCUUUCUGACAGCUUUACCUCGCACAAAUGGAGGCUGAAUUGUCCUCGAAUUAAUUGAUUGCUCUUCUAAAUCUCUUAAAAUUUAAGUUACAGCCGUUGUUGAAUUAUUUUUAAUAAGCAUUUUUAUGUGAAACCUUUUAAUUCUUUUUGAUAUCACUUGUUUUGAUACGAGAAACCAACAGUUCAUAACUUUUUGCGAUGUUCCCGAAUUAUUGCUACAAUAAUUCAAUUUUUUACUUUCGCCGACAGACGGCACCCGCUUUCUACAUAUUUUGUUAAUAUCUCUGGUUUAUUUUUCAUUGAUACCUUUUCAUCGAUCCAUUUUCGUACUUGUUCGAUUAUAUUGAAGCGUUGCUCAGCCAGUGCAUGUUCCAUCGAAAAGAAGAAGUGGUAAUCAGGUCUGAUGAAUACCUCGAAUGGGGUUGAAAUUCUCAAUUAACCGAAGAAAUCGUUUCUUUGAUUCUGAUUUAAAUAUUUUAUUAUAACUAACAAUUUUAAGGUUUCUUAAUCUUCUAUAUUUUGGUGUACGCAUUCAACUUUUUUAUUGCAAAAUUUUAUUUCUAGAUCACUACGAAUUACAAUUUUGGUAAUUCUUACGAAUUUUUUUUUAAUUUCAUUCUGGGAAUUGAGUCACUUCUCACGUAUGUUCAGUUAAUACAUAUGUCAAUAAUAUAAAUAGUAGACUAUUUAGAAAUACCCACGUUAUACCACAGAACACACAAAAAGUACCAAACUCCUACUAAACAUGGGAAACAACAGUGGACGAAAAAUUGAUUUGUAGUGUUUAAAUUCUUCAAUAGAUGUCAGCUUUAUAGUUUCCUGUAUUUGACAUUUGACAAAAUUGACGGGAAUAGUUUCAAAUUCAAGAAUUUAAACUACUUUGGAAACGAAGAUCAUAACGUAAAUUAACUGAAUGACUGUAACAUUGAUUAACUGAACCAUCGGAAUUGUUAGAGUGAUUACUAAGUUGAAAUGAAACAUUUUAACAAAAUAUUUGAGGCAAUUAUAAUAUUCUGAUUAGAAAUAGAUUCAGAAAUAGGGGAAAGACUACAAAAUUGAGCCUACAAACAGAGGGAUUUUAUAAUAUAACUGUUUUGGUUGAACAUUAUGAAUUUUUCUUGUUAUAGAGAAACCUGAUGUGGCAAAAUGGUUUUCGCAGACAUUAUAUAUUUUGAUAGAAGGAUUAAUAAUAAAAACUGAACGCCAUACUAAAUUUAAUUUUGAAUGGGAUGGUGACUUAAAAAAAUAUUUUUAAAAUUAGUAUUAUGAACAUCACUAAAAUAUGUAUUGAAAUACAAAUUUUGUCGUAGUAACCUGAUAGAUGCUAAGGGUGAGAACUCUAGGUUCAAUUUUAUAAAAUGAUAAAAUAAAAUCACAAAAAAAUUACUAUAGUGCAUCUCUGAGAUAAAUUAAUUUAUUGAAACUUUAUCAUAUUCCUUAAAAGAUAUAAAAUAUAUUUUUUGGUUUCAUUUUCUGAGAAAAGGGCCUCAUGGCAUGAGUCUCAAUUUGGAAUUUGAAUUUUAUUAAAUAAAUACCCUGCAACAUAAGAGGCACCUUGAAGUGAACUAGAAUCGUUAAUAUAUUUUUUAACUACAUUGAAAUCAGAUUCGAAAAUGGAAACGUCUAAUGUCGUCAAAUUUACGGAAUUGGAAAAAAAUUUUGAAAAUGCCCCUAAAAACUUGCCACCAUCAUCUUUUAAAUUUCUCUUGACAAAUGGAGAAACUUAAUUUUGUUGACAACGACAGUCUUUAAUGCUGCGAUGAAUUGGUGACAUGUUUGAUUGAUAUUGAGAAAGCCAUGCUGGCGUAUUUAACAAAAUAAAUUUUCUAUGGCGUCUUGAUUAAGAAACCUCAUGGCCUUCAUUUUUUAACCCGCGCCAUAGUGAAGCAACAGACGUAAAUGUAGUUAUUCGGCCUUUUAAAAAUGAA